rnacentral:rRNA from 1 species
GGUUAAGCGACUAAGCGUACACGGUGGAUGCCCUGGCAGUCAGAGGCGAUGAAGGACGUGCUAAUCUGCGAUAAGCGUCGGUAAGGUGAUAUGAACCGUUAUAACCGGCGAUUUCCGAAUGGGGAAACCCAGUGUGUUUCGACACACUAUCAUUAACUGAAUCCAUAGGUUAAUGAGGCGAACCGGGGGAACUGAAACAUCUAAGUACCCCGAGGAAAAGAAAUCAACCGAGAUUCCCCCAGUAGCGGCGAGCGAACGGGGAGCAGCCCAGAGCCUGAAUCAGUGUGUGUGUUAGUGGAAGCGUCUGGAAAGGCGCGCGAUACAGGGUGACAGCCCCGUACACAAAAAUGCACAUGCUGUGAGCUCGAUGAGUAGGGCGGGACACGUGGUAUCCUGUCUGAAUAUGGGGGGACCAUCCUCCAAGGCUAAAUACUCCUGACUGACCGAUAGUGAACCAGUACCGUGAGGGAAAGGCGAAAAGAACCCCGGCGAGGGGAGUGAAAAAGAACCUGAAACCGUGUACGUACAAGCAGUGGGAGCACGCUUAGGCGUGUGACUGCGUACCUUUUGUAUAAUGGGUCAGCGACUUAUAUUCUGUAGCAAGGUUAACCGAAUAGGGGAGCCGAAGGGAAACCGAGUCUUAACUGGGCGUUAAGUUGCAGGGUAUAGACCCGAAACCCGGUGAUCUAGCCAUGGGCAGGUUGAAGGUUGGGUAACACUAACUGGAGGACCGAACCGACUAAUGUUGAAAAAUUAGCGGAUGACUUGUGGCUGGGGGUGAAAGGCCAAUCAAACCGGGAGAUAGCUGGUUCUCCCCGAAAGCUAUUUAGGUAGCGCCUCGUGAAUUCAUCUCCGGGGGUAGAGCACUGUUUCGGCAAGGGGGUCAUCCCGACUUACCAACCCGAUGCAAACUGCGAAUACCGGAGAAUGUUAUCACGGGAGACACACGGCGGGUGCUAACGUCCGUCGUGAAGAGGGAAACAACCCAGACCGCCAGCUAAGGUCCCAAAGUCAUGGUUAAGUGGGAAACGAUGUGGGAAGGCCCAGACAGCCAGGAUGUUGGCUUAGAAGCAGCCAUCAUUUAAAGAAAGCGUAAUAGCUCACUGGUCGAGUCGGCCUGCGCGGAAGAUGUAACGGGGCUAAACCAUGCACCGAAGCUGCGGCAGCGACGCUUAUGCGUUGUUGGGUAGGGGAGCGUUCUGUAAGCCUGCGAAGGUGUGCUGUGAGGCAUGCUGGAGGUAUCAGAAGUGCGAAUGCUGACAUAAGUAACGAUAAAGCGGGUGAAAAGCCCGCUCGCCGGAAGACCAAGGGUUCCUGUCCAACGUUAAUCGGGGCAGGGUGAGUCGACCCCUAAGGCGAGGCCGAAAGGCGUAGUCGAUGGGAAACAGGUUAAUAUUCCUGUACUUGGUGUUACUGCGAAGGGGGGACGGAGAAGGCUAUGUUGGCCGGGCGACGGUUGUCCCGGUUUAAGCGUGUAGGCUGGUUUUCCAGGCAAAUCCGGAAAAUCAAGGCUGAGGCGUGAUGACGAGGCACUACGGUGCUGAAGCAACAAAUGCCCUGCUUCCAGGAAAAGCCUCUAAGCAUCAGGUAACAUCAAAUCGUACCCCAAACCGACACAGGUGGUCAGGUAGAGAAUACCAAGGCGCUUGAGAGAACUCGGGUGAAGGAACUAGGCAAAAUGGUGCCGUAACUUCGGGAGAAGGCACGCUGAUAUGUAGGUGAGGUCCCUCGCGGAUGGAGCUGAAAUCAGUCGAAGAUACCAGCUGGCUGCAACUGUUUAUUAAAAACACAGCACUGUGCAAACACGAAAGUGGACGUAUACGGUGUGACGCCUGCCCGGUGCCGGAAGGUUAAUUGAUGGGGUUAGCGCAAGCGAAGCUCUUGAUCGAAGCCCCGGUAAACGGCGGCCGUAACUAUAACGGUCCUAAGGUAGCGAAAUUCCUUGUCGGGUAAGUUCCGACCUGCACGAAUGGCGUAAUGAUGGCCAGGCUGUCUCCACCCGAGACUCAGUGAAAUUGAACUCGCUGUGAAGAUGCAGUGUACCCGCGGCAAGACGGAAAGACCCCGUGAACCUUUACUAUAGCUUGACACUGAACAUUGAGCCUUGAUGUGUAGGAUAGGUGGGAGGCUUUGAAGUGUGGACGCCAGUCUGCAUGGAGCCGACCUUGAAAUACCACCCUUUAAUGUUUGAUGUUCUAACGUUGACCCGUAAUCCGGGUUGCGGACAGUGUCUGGUGGGUAGUUUGACUGGGGCGGUCUCCUCCUAAAGAGUAACGGAGGAGCACGAAGGUUGGCUAAUCCUGGUCGGACAUCAGGAGGUUAGUGCAAUGGCAUAAGCCAGCUUGACUGCGAGCGUGACGGCGCGAGCAGGUGCGAAAGCAGGUCAUAGUGAUCCGGUGGUUCUGAAUGGAAGGGCCAUCGCUCAACGGAUAAAAGGUACUCCGGGGAUAACAGGCUGAUACCGCCCAAGAGUUCAUAUCGACGGCGGUGUUUGGCACCUCGAUGUCGGCUCAUCACAUCCUGGGGCUGAAGUAGGUCCCAAGGGUAUGGCUGUUCGCCAUUUAAAGUGGUACGCGAGCUGGGUUUAGAACGUCGUGAGACAGUUCGGUCCCUAUCUGCCGUGGGCGCUGGAGAACUGAGGGGGGCUGCUCCUAGUACGAGAGGACCGGAGUGGACGCAUCACUGGUGUUCGGGUUGUCGGUGAUGCUGCCAACUUACUGAUUUAGUGUAUGAUGGUGUUUUUGAGGUGCUCCAGUGGCUUCUGUUUCUAUCAGCCGUCCCUCCUGUUCAGCUACUGACGGGGUGGUGCGUAACGGCAAAAGCACCGCCGGACAUCAGCGCUAUCUCUGCUCUCACUGCCGUAAAACAUGGCAACUGCAGUUCACUUACACCGCUUCUCAACCCG